AUUGACCGCUGGCGGCAGGCCUAACACAUGCAAGUCGCACGAGUGGCGGACGGGUGAGUAAUGUCUGGGAAACUGCCUGAUGGAGGGGGAUAACUACUGGCAACGGUAGCUAAUACCGCAUCCCAUCGGAUGUGCCCAGAUGGGAUUAGCUAGUAGGUGGGGUAAAGGCUCACCUAGGCGACGAUCCCUAGCUGGUCUGAGAGGAUGACCAGCCACACGGGAACUGAGACAGGGGCCAGACGCCUAAGGGAGGCAGCAGGGGGGAAUAUUGCACAAUGGGCGCAAGCCUGAUGCAGACAUGCCGGGUGUAUGAAGAAGGCCUUCGGGUUGUAAAGUACUGUCAGCGGGGAGGCGUGACCCGCAGAAGAAGCACCGGCGAACUCCGUGCCAGCAGCCGCGUAAUAC
rnacentral:rRNA from 1 species